rnacentral:miRNA from 1 species
AGGCAUUGACUUCUCUCUAGAU